GACGAACGCUGGCGGCGUGCUUAACACAUGCAAGUCGAACGGUAAGGCCCUUCGGGGUACACGAGUGGCGAACGGGUGAGUAACACGUGGGCAACCUGCCCCUAACUUUGGGAUAACUACUCGAAAGAGUAGCUAAUACCGGAUAUGAAGUCUGUAGGCAUCUAUGGAUUUGGAACGUUUUUCGGUUAGGGAUGGGCCCGCGGCCUAUCAGCUUGUUGGUGAGGUAGUGGCUCACCAAGGCGACGACGGGUAGCCGGCCUGAGAGGGCGACCGGCCACACUGGGACUGAGACACGGCCCAGACUCCUACGGGAGGCAGCAGUGGGGAAUAUUGCGCAAUGGGCGAAAGCCUGACGCAGCAACGCCGCGUGCGGGAUGAAGGCCUUCGGGUUGUAAACCGCUUUCAGCGGGGAAGAAGCGAAAGUGACGGUACCUGCAGAAGAAGCACCGGCUAACUACGUGCCAGCCGCCGCCGUAA
rnacentral:rRNA from 1 species